rnacentral:rRNA from 1 species
GAUGAACGCUGGCGGCGUGCCUAAUGCAUGCAAGUCGAGCGAAUGGAUUAAGAGCUUGCUCUUAUGAAGUUAGCGGCGGACGGGUGAGUAACACGUGGGUAACCUGCCCAUAAGACUGGGAUAACUCCGGGAAACCGGGGCUAAUACCGGAUAACAUUUUGAACCGCAUGGUUCGAAAUUGAAAGGCGGCUUCGGCUGUCACUUAUGGAUGGGCCCGCGUCGCAUUAGCUAGUUGGUGAGGUAACGGCGCACCAAGGCAACGAUGCGUAGCCCACCUGAGAGGGUGAUCGGCGAGACGGGGACUGGGGCACGGCCCAGACUCAUGCGGAGGGGAGCAGGAGGGAAUCGUCAGCAAUGGACGAAAGUCUGACGGAGCAACGCCGCGUGAGUGAUGAAGGCUUUCGGGUCGUAAAACUCUGUUGUUAGGGAAGAACAAGUGCUAGUUGAAUAAGCUGGCACCUUGACGGUACCUAACCAGAAAGCCACGGCUAACUACGUGCCAGCAGCCGCGGUAA